ensembl:lncRNA
CCAUCACAUAUACAAAGGAAGAAUAACAGAAUACAUGUUGGUAUGUGGUGUCUGGAGAUGAGGACAGAGAGAGAGUAGAAGUGGGUUCAGAGGAGAUGGAGGAGAUGGGCAGGACAGAGAGAGAGUAGAGUGGGUUCAGAGGAGAUGGAGGAGAUGGGCAGGACAGAGAGAGAGUAGAGUUGGGUUCAGGGGAGAUGGAGGAGAUGGGCAGGACAGAGAGAGAGUAGAGUGGGUUCAGGGGAGAUGGAGGAGAUGGGCAGGACAGAGAGAGAGUAGAGUUGGGUUCAGGGUGUCCUUCUGUUUUCUCUCACUGAUUCAUAGGUAAUCUCUUCAGCUCUUUGUUUCCCGGUGGUUGUCAUAGUGAGGAGCUGACAGUCUCUC